CUAGUAAUGGCAGGUCAGCAUACUGCCGUGAAUACGUUCCCGGGCCUUGUACACACCGCCCGUCACACCAUGAGAGUUGGGGAUACCCAAAGCCCGUGAGCCAACUGUAAAGAGGCAGCGGUCUAAGGUAGAAUCAAUGAUUGGGGUGAAGUCGUAACAAGGUAUC
rnacentral:rRNA from 1 species